AUUGUCGCAGGAACUGGGGAGAAAUUUUCUAGCCAUUCACGUCCAGGGGAGGAAGCAGCACAUGCUGAUCCUAUAAUCCAACCAGAACAAAUUGCUACCCAAGUUUAUGUGCCACAAGAAUUUUUCCCACAAAGUCUACAAGCAUGCACGAAAGCUGAUGCUUUGGAGGGCAGCACACCUGCACAGCCCACCAAACCUGAGGAACUUCACGAUGAGUCGUACAAGAAGGCUGAGAUCUAUAAGGGAAAGAAUAAAGUGCUUAAUGGCAGCCCAAUCCUUCGUCAAAAAAUUCAGCCAAUUCAAAGGUUAUGGGUAUUAAAUACAAGGUUUAAGUCAGUUCAGCAAAUACACAAGCUUCUAUGGGAAUGACCCUAUUUGAUUACAAAAAGUCAUUCACACAAAAGGGAGGACAUCAAGAACUCAACUACUGAAUUUAAAUGCACAGUUCAAGUCACUCAUUACCUACUAUUGCCCUAUGAUGCUACUAAGAGGUGGUUGACUCUAAAAGAACAAGUGACGUGACCAUCAAUUCCUUCAUCUAUGUCUAGCUAUAGACAUUAACUAAAGAGCUAAUUGGGAGGCAACCCAAUUUUUCUAACUCUUUUAUUUUUAUUUUUAUUUUUAUUCGUUUAUCUUGCUUUUAUUUCAAUUACAAAAAUCAUAAAAAAUAAUAUAAAAAAAUCAGAAAAUUGAAAGAGAAAAAAAUGAAAUUUUAAUUCUUAUUAUUUUGUACUUAUCUAAUUGGGUUUCUGAUUUGUGAUUGCAGGUUGCAUUCAGAUUUGAGUCCGCCAUACAAUCCACUGAGUUGCUAGCACUCAUCUCAUCCAUUUAUUCAUUCAGCACACUCAUCAUCCAUUCAUCAACAUUUAUCAAAGUGCAGAAACAGAAACAGUGUUGAAGUUCUGAAGUGCUUACAGUGGGGUUGCUGCAAAGGCCUCUAUACUGCUUGGGACUCCUUUCACUCAAUCACUCCCUCACAUUAUAUUAACAGUUUUAUUACAUGCAAGUUUCGGGGUAGACCUAGCAGCACAGAGGUAGGCCGAUCAUACAAGUGCUUUGCUUAGGCAUUCAUCAAAUGGACGACAUGCAAACACAAAAGAAAAAUCGCAUCAGUGAGACGCAUGCAUGUUCACAGACAACAUCCACAGAUCCGUUUGAUUUUCAGAGACAUCACACCAUGAAGAAUUUUCAUGCAGUACAGGGACUUGGUUUACCUUCGAUUUUGUAGACCUGAGUUCUUGCAGCCAACUUUGCUGUUUAUACAGCAGUUCCUCGUGUGUGGCACUGCUCCUUACCGUUCCUAUUUGGCCUUACUCGGAUCCAACACUC
rnacentral:lncRNA from 1 species